rnacentral:rRNA from 1 species
UACGUAGGAUGCAAGCGUUGUCCGGAAUUAUUGGGCGUAAAGAGUUCGUAGGCGGUUCGUUAAGUCAGAGGUUAAAGACUGGGGCUCAACCCCAGGAGUGCCUUUGAUACUGGCGGGCUUGAGGACGGCAGAGGAAAGUGGAAUUCCAAGUGUAGCGGUGAAAUGCGUAGAUAUUUGGAGGAACACCAGUGGCGAAAGCGACUUUCUGGGCCGUUACUGACGCUGAGGAACGAAAGCGUGGGGAGCAAAC